rnacentral:misc_RNA from 1 species
UGAAACUUUUUGUGCUUUUCUAGUGUGAUGGUCCUUUGUGAUGAUGCUUCAUUUUUCUUUUGUUCACCUGUUUGGCUAGUAGUCUUGUCGUUGCUAUUUUUUUUUGUGUGUGUGUGUGUGAAAAUAUUAUGACCUGUAAUUAGCAAGAAGAAGAAGCCCUCAACUCAGCACACCUCCUCUUGUGACUUGAAGGCCAAUUUCCAUUUGUGAAAUUGAACCAUUUGGCAUAUCUGCACAGAGAAAGCAGAACCAAAAUUGCAAAACUAUGCUUGUAGUGCUGUAUGAACUAAGAAGCAAUAUGAAUUUCAAUUAGAAAAAUAAGUACCAAUUUUAGCACUUCUGUGUUCAACUAUUGACAAUAUAUAGCAAUUCAAUGUCACUCAAAUGCCAAUCUUUGAGUGCCAACCAAUGAUGCAUAUUGACCCUUCUUCGCCAACAACUCAAAAUGGGUCCCCAGUUCUGCAACCCUCCCACCCGAGCAAAGUGCGAUCUGAUGGGCAUUCUGAACUGUGCUUAAUCGAUGAGCAAUCACCAAUGUAGUUCUGCCCUUCAUCAAAUGAUUAAGAGCAUCCUGGACCAGGCGUUCACUGACUGCAUCCAAAGCACUGGUGGCCUCAUCAAGAAUAAGGAUUGGAGCAUUUUUGAGCAAGGCUCUCGCAAUAGCAACUCUCUGGAGAAUGAAGGUCAGAAAAUAAAAUUCAAUCCUUUAUCUUUCAAAUACCUGCCCCCCCUCCUCCUCUCUCUUUCACAAGCACCUAAAGAUCAGAAACACAAACCAAUCACCUAUCUCUCAAUCUCUCUGAAAAGCUUGUUGCAUACCUGCCUCUGUCCUCCACUCAAUAAGCCACCACGCUCACCAACUAGAGUGUCAUAACCCUUUGAAAUCCAAGUAAAGGUUCAGCAAACAGUAAUGAGAGCAAGCAAAACUUUCAACAAAAGCAAAGCUACAAGAUAAUGAACCUGUGGAAGUGAAAUUAUAAAUUCAUGAGCAUUUGCAGCUUUGGCAGCCUUUAUGAUGUCAUCCUUGGAUACAUUAUCAUCUGGAAGCCCAUAAGCAAUAUUUUCUCCAACAGAAACCGAAAAAAGUACAGGCUCCUGUGUAUGUUACAUGCUUAAGUUUGAGAAAUACAGAAGACUUAUAUCAGGCAAUUGAAGUAACUCCCUCAGCACACACAUCACAUAUUCUUCAGACAGGGAUAGAUAGCAUCCAAAGGUAUUUGGAUUAUUCAACUAGGACAUCUAAGGUAUCUACAAUUGGCAAUAAAUGGUUAUCCAUUCUCUCAACCAAAUGCCAGGUUAAUAUCAAACAGCGCUUGCUAAUGAAAUUUCAAGAUAAGUUCAUUUGUUAGGUAUUCAAGUAUUCCACCUCUUGGUUUAGAACUAAAGCAAACAGUAUGUCAGUAGUAAUUGAUGGCCAACUAGCUAAACAUAUUAACAGGUUUUGCAUUACUGCAUUUAAGUGGACAUUGAGAAGUAUGAAGAUCCAAAUAUAUACUUGAUUCACUAUGGAGACAACUCGAGCCCAUUCGGUCUUGUCAAAUGUCCGGACAUCCUCUCCUGCAACAGUUAUCUUGCCUCUAGUCGGCUGUAGGAAAAAGAUACACUUACGAAUUACAACUAUUUCUUGAUGGAAAAAUAAUAAUAACAGCAACAAGUAGAAAUUCAAAAUUGAAAAUUAAGAUUUUAAAAAGAAAAUAAACCUCAUAAAAGCGUGCCAAUAGCUGAACUAUGGUACUCUUGCCUGCACCACUUGGGCCCACUAAAGCAGUCACAGUUCCACAUUUUAGUUUCAAAUUAAGACCAUUUAGGAUUUCAACAUCAGGUCUCAAAGGAUAAGAAAAAUGUACAUCUGCAGAAAAAAUUGAGGACAUCAGUAGGCAUAAAAUAUUGGUCCAUUAAUAUUUUUGGAUGCAAUUAUUUGAAGUAAAAGAUUUGGAUUUGAUUUUAAUUUAAAUUGUUUAAAUGUGAUACACUUCAAAUUCCUAACCCAUCUUGAUGGCGCCACGUGUCUCUUUCUGAUAUUUAAAAUACCUGACGGAGGGAAAACCUUUAAAAACGUCCUCCAGUGGCAGAUGGGUAGUUUCACACAUGCUCCUUCUAUCCCUUGAAGGAGGAAAACGGCCUCUAGAAGGAAAUCGCUCAUCUACGACCCUGACCUACUGCAUUUAAUGCUUUUGAAACCUAAAAUAUGAGCAUCAAGCGCGAUAAACCUACUAAAAGAUGGAGCUAAAUAAACCCACCAUUGCAUUUAACAGCUAAAUGACUCUCGCACACAACCUUAUCCUUUUCACACUUUGAACCCCCCACAUCCUGGUAUUGAGGCUUUUUAGCGCACUACUCUAAUUCUUAAUAAGGUCUUAUUACUGUAAACAUUGAUUGACAAUACAUUGGUAAAAUAAGGUUCUUCCAUACAUAAUCUAUCCGUUAUGUAAAUUACAUGUGGCACUAUAUUAUUGGACAGGUGUGGUAUGUAUUUCGGUUAGUACUAGGUAAGUCUUCAAUUCUAGAAAAAACACUCUUGAGCUCAUUUAUUUCGCCUUAAUGCUCUUAUCUACCUCUGGAAAAACUGUUUUCUAACUUGAUCAUCGGAGUGCCAAGCAAGGAGACCCUCUUCGCCCUCUAACCCUUGUUUGUUUUGUAGCUAGAGUUAAAGUGGAAGCUCAAGAGUUAGACCAUUCCUUCAAGCCACUCUUUUGACAACCCCUUCCAUGUGGCACCCAUCUGUGAAGCCUUAAAAAAAAAUUUAUAAAAAUGAAAUGUGGUUGAGAACUCAUUUGAAAUGGAUUUUAAAUGACAAAAUCAAUUGAACCAAUAUCUAUGUAUUAUCAAUAUGACAUUCAAAUUUCACAUUUCAAAUUUCUCCAUUCAAACGAAAGGUACAUGAAUUUAGAGAAACCAUUAGCAAUUUGGAUUUAUUCUUUGUUCUAUAUAUCCCAAAACUACACAGCCAAGAAAAUUUAUGUAGGGGAAGACAGUUUCAGCCACAUAGAGAGCGCAUCUUAUAAAGCACAAAACUGUAUCAAGUUAUAAGAUUUGCACACUUAAUUUGAAAUAAAUAUUAUAUUUUGUUUCGCAAGAGACAAUUAACUCAUACUGUAAGAACAUGAGAAGAUUAUCAAUAUGAUUUAAUAACUAAAAUCAUAAGAUGCAAAGAUGUAGUAAAAUUUACAUCAAUCCAUCUGAAAGUUAAAUAAGACAGGAUUAAUGAUACCUUCAAGACAAACAUCACCAGACCAAGCAUAGGUGCUCAGGUUGCUAGCUGAUUUCAAGGCUGACAUGUAAUGUGCAUUUAAAUAUCUAUUCUUCCCACUGUAACCAUUAACAAAGAACAAUUUAGUUAUCUCAUCAUGAUUUUCUUUUUCCUGGAUUUCUCUUUCCAAACCAUUGGCAAGGGCUUCAUCAAUUUCUACUUCAGACAAAACUGAAUUAAUUCUCUCAACAGCAGCAAAUGUUCCACGAAGGUCUCCAAAUGUAUUGACUAGUCCUUGAACAGCAAAUGUUAAUGUGAAAGUGUAUCCGAUAAAAGAAGCAACAGUUCCAACAGAGAGUUCGCCUGCCUUCACUUUGCUUCCUCCAAGACAAUACAAAGCCAUCAAAGAAAUAUAAACAGCUAUUCUUGUCAAUGAUUCAUUCACAGAUUUGAAGGUCCCAAGCUUUAUGCCACUACCCUGAUAAGCAAGAACCUGGCUACCAAACAUCAACAUUUGGCGCUUUUCACCACUGAAGGAUCUUACAGUGCGAAUAGCAGAAAAAGUUUCUGUCACACAAUCAGAUAUGGAUGCUUGGGCCAUUCCAUGAGCUUUGAAAACAGGUAUAGUUGACCGCUUGUAUGUGGCUUGAGAAUAGUAAUUCGACUAAAACAGACACACUAAGCAUCAAUAUACCCAGAAUUGGUGCCAGUUGGGGGGCCAGAGCAAAUAAUAUGCAUAUAGUCCCAAUUACUUUUACUCUAGUAUAGAAUGGCUUGCCUCGGAAAGUGCCCUAAAUCCACGAUCCCUUGAAAUGUUCUCAUUGACAAUAUCUUUAAGAGACCCCAAAUCAAAUGUUAACAAUGCACUGAGUUCACCAAUCUUGUAUCGAUCAAAAAACUCCACCUUCUGUAUUAGAACUCUUCUGAAAAUAUGAGCUCUUAGCCUUGACAUUACCUUCUCCCAAACAGCGUUCAUGUUCACAACAAAGAUCACAGUGCAAAUUGGUUCCAAUGAGUAUAAAAGUCCAACCUUACUAAGCAGCCUCCACAAAGGCUCUGGCCUUGCGCCUAUAAGCACUUCAAAAAAUCGGCCUGAAAAUAAGGGCAUCGAAAGGGUACAAGUAGUGCAACCAACGAGAGCCAGAACCGAGACCCCAAGCCUCAGCUUAUGCUUAAGCAACAGACUCCACAAAAGUCCCCAACUUAUCAGUUUCGUUGACUGCACCUCCUCAGUCGUGGACUCCGAUGCGUCGACCUUCGGGUCGGGCUCGCUCAAAGUUGGAGGCCCCGACACGUAAGCGCACGAAAUUGUGGAGAUUUUGGUGCUCCAUCGCUUCACAUAAGAUUGUGAAAAUGGCGGGAAAUGGCAGAAAGCAGAGGAGAUCGACAGUUGACUCUGCCUAAGUUUAUGUUUAUUAAUGGGACGCACGUGAAGCUUAGGUAUUGGGAAGCGAGUGGGAUUGAUUUGUAGGAGGACGCCAGUUGCAGACGCCAUAGAUUUUCUCGCUGUAGACCGGAGGACGAGAGACACCCAGCAAGAUAUAGUCUCACACUCCCAAGUUGCUUGGCAAAUUUUCAUUACUCGACCACCAACGGUACGUUAUCAAAUC